AAGAACUGCCGCAGGCUGCGAUCUUUUGACCUUGAUUAUUAAAAACAAGAUCAACAGAUCGCAGCCUGCGGCAGCUCCU
rnacentral:antisense_RNA from 1 species